rnacentral:rRNA from 1 species
AGUGAACGCUGGCGGUAGGCCUAACGCAUGCAAGUCGAACGGCAGCACAGUAAGAGCUUGCUCUUACGGGUGGCGAGUGGCGGACGGGUGAGGAAUACAUCGGAUUCUACUUUUUCGUGGGGGAUAACGUAGGGAAACUUACGCUAAUACCGCAUACGACCUACGGGUGAAAGCAGGGGAUCUUCGGACCUUGCGCGAUUGAAUGAGCCGAUGUCGGAUUAGCUAGUUGGCGGGGUAAAGGCCCACCAAGGCGACGAUCCGUAGCUGGUCUGAGAGGAUGAUCAGCCACACUGGAACUGAGACACGGUCCAGACUCCUACGGGAGGCAGCAGUGGGGAAUAUUGGACAAUGGGCGCAAGCCUGAUCCAGCCAUACCGCGUGGGUGAAGAAGGCCUUCGGGUUGUAAAGCCCUUUUGUUGGGAAAGAAAAGCAGCAGGUUAAUACCCCGCUGUUCUGACGGUACCCAAAGAAUAAGCACCGGCUAACUUCGUG